GUCGGCACGUCCUGCCUCUAGCAAUGGCCGGUGCUCCCCCGUGCAAGGAGGGAGCAAUGUUUUCCCUCCUGACGGCCGCCGUCUUCGGACAAGGGCCCGUUGUCCCCUAGUGAUACUAGGCGACAAAUCUUUGAAGAAGUAUCGGAGACGCCGUUGCAAAGACAAAGGCAAGAACAUCAUCAUCAUCAUCAUCAGGAUCUACAUGUAAACAAUCAGGCCGCGUGUGACACCCUCAGCCCCACGCUGGCCAGGCGCGGCGCCCCACACACCAGAACACUUCCUGCCACGGCUACACUCCCCCACACCAGCCGCAAGGCAGCCCCAGCCAGGCUCCACACCCUCAGGUCAGCCUGUGACACCCUCAGGGGAAUGCUCACGUUUUUGGGAUUGCUUCAAAGCUUGACGAGACACCUCUCCCAGGCUCCCUCCUUCACGCUGGACCACCCCUGGAGGAGGACUCCCUGGAGCCUGCCAAGGAGUACAGGGAUGCUGACAUCAAUGAGGCUAUACACGAUUAUGAACCAGUUGGUGAAGGACUGGAGCCUCCUCCAAGCACCCCUGUGUGACAGUACAGCUGGUGAACCCACUCAGGACCAGAAGGUGAUGAACCAGUUGGUGAAGGGCUGGAGCCUCCUCUGAGCACCCCUGUGUGACAGUACAGCUGGUGAACCCACUCAGGACCAGAAGGUUGAUGAGGGUAAUCUUGAGAGCCAGCACCAGACCCUGGCGCCUCCUCCACCCCGGCCAGGAUCCCUCCCCCAGGGCCCAUGGAGCCACCAGAGCAUCGUCAUGUCAGCUGUGAAGGUGUUGCUGAAGGGAGGUUUUCAAGUCUUCACAGGCCUUCACAAGUCCUCCAGGGAAUGAAGGUAAGAGUCCUUAUUAGCCCGAUAAUUUUGUGGCCUUACCGUGUAGCAGCAACGGGACAAAUUUGUGGCUUUACCGUGUAGCAGCAACGGGACAAAUUUGUGGCUUUACCGUGUAGCAGCAACGGGACAAAUUUGUGGCUUUACCGUGUAGCAGCAACGGGACAAAUUUGUGGCUUUACCGUGUAGCAGCAACGGGACAAAUUUGUGGCUUUACCGUGUAGCAGCAACAGGACAAAUUUGUGGCUUUACCGUGUAGCAGCAACGGGACAAAUUUGUGGCUUUACCGUGUAGCAGCGACGGGACAAAUUUGUGCCAUGUUAUAAACCCCCCAAAAUAGAUGAUACAUAAUCUGAUCACAAAUGCUUUGAUAUAUAUUAUGAAAUGGUUUGUGUGAGGGGUGAUUUUUUCUCAUUUUUCUCGCUUGGAGGGACCAUUAAGAAACAUGAUCCCCGCUGCUGCCACCGGGUUAAGUAAUGACAGGACCUAGGCUUCGCUGGGUCAGUCUGGUCUACCUCUUCUCUCUACUGACCACCCAAAGAUGUACGCACAUGCCCUGAGGUGCGGGGCAGAGCUCACAAACCAAUCAUACAACCCUCUCUUGUUUCAUAUGGUGCAGAAGAGGCUUUGUCAGACUAUCAUUAGGCUCAUAGAAAUAGCCAUGGACAUACUGACACUACCCCCACCAAAGCCUUAUUGAAUGUGUGUGUGUGUGUGUGUGUGUGUGUG